CCGUAACUAUAACGGUCCUAAGGUAGCGAAAUUCCUUGUCGGGUAAGUUCCGACCUGCACGAAUGGCGUAAUGAUGGCCAGGCUGUCUCCACCCGAGACUCAGUGAAAUUGAACUCGCUGUGAAGAUGCAGUGUACCCGCGGCAAGACGGAAAGACCCCGUGAACCUUUACUAUAGCUUGACACUGAACAUUGAGCCUUGAUGUGUAGGAUAGGUGGGAGGCUUUGAAGUGUGGACGCCAGUCUGCAUGGAGCCGACCUUGAAAUACCACCCUUUAAUGUUUGAUGUUCUAACGUGGGCCCCUUACCGGGGUUGCGGACAGUGUCUGGUGGGUAGUUUGACUGGGGCGGUCUCCUCCUAAAGAGUAACGGAGGAGCACGAAGGUUGGCUAAUCCUGGUCGGACAUCAGGAGGUUAGUGCAAUGGCAUAAGCCAGCUUGACUGCGAGCGUGACGGCGCGAGCAGGUGCGAAAGCAGGUCAUAGUGAUCCGGUGGUUCUGAAUGGAAGGGCCAUCGCUCAACGGAUAAAAGGUACUCCGGGGAUAACAGGCUGAUACCGCCCAAGAGUUCAUAUCGACGGCGGUGUUUGGCACCUCGAUGUCGGCUCAUCACAUCCUGGGGCUGAAGUAGGUCCCAAGGGUAUGGCUGUUCGCCAUUUAAAGUGGUACGCGAGCUGGGUUUAGAACGUCGUGAGACAGUUCGGUCCCUAUCUGCCGUGGGCGCUGGAGAACUGAGGGGGGCUGCUCCUAGUACGAGAGGACCGGAGUGGACGCAUCACUGGUGUUCGGGUUGUCAUGCCAAUGGCACUGCCCGGUAGCUAAAUGCGGAAGAGAUAAGUGCUGAAAGCAUCUAAGCACGAAACUUGCCCCGAGAUGAGUUCUCCCUGACUCCUUGAGAGUCCUGAAGGAACGUUGAAGACGACGACGUUGAUAGGCCGGGUGUGUAAGCGCAGCGAUGCGUUGAGCUAACCGGUACUAAUGAACCGUGAGGCUUAACCUU
rnacentral:rRNA from 1 species